GACCACGUAGCUCAGUUGGCAGAGCACUGGACUAGCAUCCCAAAGGUCGCGGGUUCGAUUCCCACCCUGGCCA
rnacentral:tRNA from 1 species